rnacentral:lncRNA from 1 species
GGAAGGGCCACUUCCCUUGGUGUCCUGGGGCUGAGGCUGGGAUCUGAAUUAUCUGUGCCAGUGCAUUGUGGCCUGGCCUGGCCGGGCCUCAAUCGCUGCAUUGCAGAAACUCGCUCCAAACGGUGGUAUUUUGCAAGCCAUGGGCCACAGCAGGGAGGAGAACACUGCCAUCUCCAGAGGCCUGGGUCUUCCUCUGCCCCUGCUCAGCAAGACACGGUCCACUGUGGCCCCCAGCGCAGACACAGGUUUUCUGUUUGUUUGUUUGUAUUUUUGGAUCCAAGUCUGUGUUCAGAUUUGGAAGGCAGCCUCCGAUGGACGGGCCUUUCUUUAUUUGGGACCUCGGUUUCCUCAUCUGCAAAAUGGGAGGUCUGAAGUGAAGACCCUUCAGAGAAGUGCCCCUUCUCCCAACCCAUGGUGAGAGGUAGCCUUCAACAGGGAUUUGGGAACCCAAAGACUCUAUGUCCUUUCUUGACCCCAGAGGCUGGGCAAGUCGGGCACCAAUCUGCACCUCGGUCUCUCCCCCGCACACACACCCUGCUGAAAAAGCAAGAGGUGUAAGCAGCCCCGGUUCCCAGAGCCUUGUGUGUCUGUGAGAGCUGUCAAUCAGGCUUAGACACUGGGGUCAAGAGGGACCCGUGAACUCAGGAGAUGGUGCCACCCCAGCUGAGCACCGGUCAUUUUCCUGUGCAGUUCAUGGAGGCUGGUCUCCAACUUGCAAUCCUCCUGCCUCAGCCUCCUGAGCUGCUGGGAUGACAGGCGUGGGCCAUUAUGUCCUGCCAGAUUCAUGGUUCAUGGAGAUGAGAGGAGAGUCGGUCCCUCCUCUUGACUGCACAGGCAUUACAGAGCCGGGUAACACUGGGAAGAGGACAUGGGUACUACAGCAGAGUGGAGUAUCUCCUGGAAGUGCUACCAGGAGACACUCUGGUACCUGGCACAUGUCCAUGGGCCAUGCCCAGCCUUGCUCUCUCUGCCCAGUCCUAGGAGAGGUCAAGGUACUUUCUCAAGAACAUACUAUGGCCAGGUGUGGUGGCCCACACCUAUAAUUCCAGUAACACAGGAGGCUGAGGCAGGAGGAUUGCAAGUUGGAGGCCAGCCUCAGCAACCCUUAGCAAGGC